GUUUGUUUGUGAAAUGAGACAUGAGGAUUUUUUUUAACCAGAUUAGUAUGCCUGUGCUGAGAUACAUGAAGAUCAAUAUCUGUUUUUUAGUGCUUAAAAAGCACUAAAUUCUUUAUACAUACACAGUUUCCAGGCAUAUUAUUAACUCUACCUUUAUAUUGACUUUUAUGCCACUAGAUUAGACUGUGAUUAAUUAAUGUACUUUGAUUUUGCUUAAAAAUUUUUAACUACAUUUGGUUCUACAUUGCUGUACACUCUUACCAUGUUAUUGUGUCUUGCUGAAAUUAUAUAUAAUGCAAGAUUGAGAUUGCUGUAAAAAUUCUUUUAUUUCUUGUUUCAUGAUAGUGACUUACUCUUUUUUUUAAGCAAUUUGUACAAUUUAAAUAUUUGAAAUAAUUUUUAAAACCACUCAACACUCUGUGGCUUAACUUUGAGGAUAAUGAUUAUAGAAAAGUAGUUUUCAGACCAUCGCUUUUAUAAGAAUCAUCUGAGAACCCCAGAGUCCUUCCCUUAAAGAUUUUAGAUCAUUGACUGAGGCUGAGAAAUCCACAUUUUUUAGCAAUUUACUUGGCAGCUCUGGUGGAGGCAGUUUGGUUGUUUAACCCUUAAGAAACAGCAACAGAGAAAGGUCAAGGGCAGGAGAGAUGAUGUCUUCCUAAUGCCAUAGUCAAUGUACCUAAUAGAAUUGAAAAGAGUCAGUAUUUCUUUAGUCAUUCCUUUUUGUUUCUUAUCAAAACAAACACUAUAGUUUUAUACCUAUAAAAAAUAAAAAACAUGAUAUUUACAUCCUAUGAAGUAAGAUAUUUUUUAGGUGCCUUUUCAGUAUAUUUUAUGCCCAUACAACUUAUCACAUUCACUUAAGCAUAAGAGAGAGAAUAAUAGUAAAAUUGUACUGGAUUUAAUAAUAACAUGAAAUAAUGGACAUUAUUAUGGUUAGCUCUGUUAAAAGAUUUUUGUAUAGUGCUAUUGUUAAUUGAAUAGAACUUCCAAUACUUUUAAAAAAUAAGCCUCCCCCAAGACACACACAUCUUAGAGGAAUGUAUUCAAGGUUGUGGGAAUUGUAUAUGCUUCUGUUUGGGAGAAAUAUUCAUGACAAAAUAAUGAUUUGUUUUCCUGGAUGAUUUUAAAUUUAAUCACAUGUUGAUUAAAAUAGAUUUGUGGCUAAAUUAAUGUGUUCAGAAGCUGGUUUUAUUGAGUUAAACUUUAACUGAAGUUUAUUAAAACGCUUAGAACAGAAAUUAAUCUGAAGAACUGAGGAAAUGGAAUUAUUAAUUUACGCUAAGUCUCAGGAAGAGAAAAUGGC
rnacentral:lncRNA from 1 species